rnacentral:rRNA from 1 species
AGCAGCCGCGGUAAUUCCAGCUCCAAUAGCGUAUAUUAAAGUUGUUGCAGUUAAAAAGCUCGUAGUUGAAUUUCGGGGUUUAUCCGUUGGUCGGGCUUUUUGGUCUGUACUGGCGUGAUGGAUUCCUACCUUCUGAAUAACCGGCAUGCCAUUAAUUUGGUGCGCCGGGGAAGCAGGACUGUUACCUUGAAAAAAUUAGAGUGCUUAAAGCAGGCUUAUGCCUGAAUACAUUAGCAUGGAAUAAUGAAAUAGGACGGCAUGGUUCUAUUUUGUUGGUUUCUAGGAUCACCGUAAUGAUUAAUAGGGAUAGUUGGGGGCAUUAGUAUUCAAUUGUCAGAGGUGAAAUUCUUGGAUUUAUUGAAGACUAGCUUCUGCGAAAGCAUUUGCCAAGGAUGUUUUCAUUAAUCAAGAACGAAAGUUAGGGGAUCGAAGACGAUCAGAUACCGUCGUAGUCUUAACCAUAAACUAUGCCGACUAGGGAUCGGACGAUGUUAAUUUUUUUAAUGACUCGUUCGGCGCC